rnacentral:rRNA from 1 species
AUUGAACGCUGGCGGCAGGCCUAACACAUGCAAGUCGGACGGUAGCACAGAGGAGCUUGCUCUUCGGGUGACGAGUGGCGGACGGGUGAGUAAUGUCUGGGGAUCUGCCCGAUAGAGGGGGAUAACCACUGGAAACGGUGGCUAAUACCGCAUAACGUCGCAAGACCAAAGAGGGGGACCUUCGGGCCUCUCACUAUCGGAUGAACCCAGAUGGGAUUAGCUAGUAGGCGGGGUAACGGCCCACCUAGGCGACGAUCCCUAGCUGGUCUGAUAGGAUGACCAGCAACACUGGAACUGAGCAACGGUCCAGACUCCUACGGGAGGCAGCAGUGGGGAAUAUUGCACAAUGGGCGCAAGCCUGAUGCAGCCAUGCCGCGUGUAUGAAGAAGGCCUUCGGGUUGUAAAGUACUUUCAGCGGGGAGGAAGGCGAUGUGGUUAAUAGCCGCGUCGAUUGACGUUACCCGCAGAAGAAGCACCGGCUAACUCCGUGCCAGCCGCCGCAGUAA